GCUUCGGCAAAGGGUAAGGGUGAAAGGGUGCGGUAAGAGCGCACCGCGCUUCCGGUGACGGGAGCGGCAGGGUAAACCCCACCGGGAGCAAGACCGAGUAGGAACGGCCGGUGACUUCGGGUCACAGGCGGGUUUUCACGUCGUCGUUCGGGUGUGUCGCACGAGGCGUCCGGUAACGGGCGUCCCAGAUGAAUAACCAUCUAUCGCAAGUUUACUUGCGUGGACAGAACCCGGCUUACAGACCGUCUGGCAUU
rnacentral:RNase_P_RNA from 1 species